GAAAUACUCCCUCGGUCUGAAAAUACUUGUCAUAGGAAUGGAUGUAUCUAGAUGUAUGUCAGCUCUAGAUACAUUCAUUUUUAUCAAUUUGUGCGACAAGUAAUUCCGGACGGAGGGAGUACUAG
rfam:Hordeum vulgare subsp. vulgare, WGS project CAJW01000000 data, contig: morex_contig_40235